CAGGUCUAACACAUGCAAGUCGAACGAUGGUCUUCGGAUCAUAGUGGCGCACGGGUGCGUAACGCGUGGGAAUCUGCCCUUGGGUCUGGGAUAACAGCGGGAAACUGCUGCUAAUACCGGAUGAUAUCGCGAGAUCAAAGAUUUAUCGCCUGAGGAUGAGCCCGCGUCGGAUUAGCUAGUUGGUGGGGUAAAGGCCUACCAAGGCGACGAUCCGUAGCUGGUCUGAGAGGAUGAUCAGCCACACUGGGACUGAGACACGGCCCAGACUCCUACGGGAGGCAGCAGUGGGGAAUAUUGGACAAUGGGCGAAAGCCUGAUCCAGCAAUGCCGCGUGAGUGAUGAAGGCCUUCGGGUUGUAAAGCUCUUUUACCAGGGAUGAUAAUGACAGUACCUGGAGAAUAAGCUCCGGCUAACUCCGUGCCAGCAGCCGCGGUAAU
rnacentral:rRNA from 1 species